AUUUUUCUUCAGCAGUCCAAAAUAUUAGUCAAUGCUCGAAAGAGUGAACUAGCUAACUGAAAUCAAUUAUAAUUGAUAACAUAAGGGAAAAUAAUGAUAUUACCUUAUUAUUAGUGUCGUCCAAAACUGGUGCCAGAAGACUCGGUAAGGCCUGAGACACAAACGUUAAUCGUCUUAAUCAGGCGUAAAGGGUUUGUAGGCGGCUUUAAAAUUUACUUAUAAUUAAAUAAGUAAAGAAUAAAAGCUAGAAUCAAAUAGAGGAUAUAUGAAAUAAUGCUUAGAGUAGGUUUGAUAUCCAUAGAUACUAAGUAGAAUAUUAAAGGCGAAAGCUUUUUUCCAUUAAUGAUUGACGCUCAGAAACGAAGGUGAGGAUAGGAAAUAGGAUUAGAUACCCAAAAUACCCCUCUCUGUUAACGAUGAAUGGUAGUUAUUAGUAAAAAAUUUAUUAAUGGUAAUGUUAACACGAUAACCAUUCCGCCUUGUGAGUACAACUGCAAAGUUGAAAACAAAAAAAUUAGUCGGUUUCGGAGCAAACGAAGUGAAGCAUGUUAUUUAAUUCGAUAAUCCGCA
rnacentral:rRNA from 1 species